GUAAGAGGGUUCCCCUUUCUCCACAUCCUCUCCAACACUUGUUGUUAACUGUCUUGUUGAUUUUGGCCAUUCCAACUCGUGUAAGGUCGUAUCUCAAUGUGAUUUUGAUUCGAAUC